CCUACGGCAACAAAGGCGAGAUAUAUGUAGGAUCUUGUUCUAUCUGAGAAAUCCACUAUUCAUAAAGAUUGGUUGUUCUGUUGGUUAUGUUUUUAUAAAUUCUCGAUUUCAUGGUAAAAAAAGGAAUCGCCCGGGAGGGAGUUGAUAGAUCAAAUGAGUUAUUGAUUGAAGAAGAAACAUAAAGAAGAUAUGUAAGAAAAAGUUGUUGGAAGAAAUUUUUUGGGUUAUAAAUCAAAGUUGUUGUUCCUAAAGAUACAGAAGACCAAAAAGAAGAGAAGGAAGAAAAAACAAAAUGGUUCAUUUACUCAUCUUCUUUAGUAUAGGCGGACUCGGAAAAGCUAGCAUUCUCGAAACUUUCUAAGCAUCUGUAGUGUCUGUGUGAACCACUAUAAGGGCGAAGAGAAAUCCAUUCAGCUGAUAAAAUGUGAAACUAGGUCCAAAGCUAGUAGUAACAUUCAUUGCGACAAUUCUGCCGAUAUCGUGUUUGACCAGUAUUAAUGAUGAUUUGUUUCACACCAAUUGCAAGCCUUAUGCCUGUUCAGCUUAAUGCGGUAUUAAUUAGAUUAGAUAGGCAUGAAUCUGAGUUUUCAAAAUGAGCCACUCUCAAAUGUGAGGAUGGAAGGGAGAUUCUUGAAAGAGAGUUUUGUUGAAAGAUUCCUGGAUUUGUUUUGGUAAUAGCUUUAUCACCAGGGACUGGACAUCUUCUGCAAUAAAUGAUUAAUGAUUUAUCAUCAUUAGUUCCGCAAACAAGCACAAGCUCAUUUGGUCACAAUGAGGUAAACUCCGAUUGCAUUGUCAAGAGCAGAAGCCACCAAAAAACCAAGCACACAAUUGGUAGUAAGAACUUCCUUUGAUGCAAUGCUGAAAUGGCUCAAAACAAUGGAGGGAACCCGCCAGCUGAAGGUUGAUAUAUACAUUGAGACCCAUGCAAAUAAAGACAGUAGAAAAGCGUCUGACCGAAUUUCUGAAGGCUACAUAGCACAAAUCAGGGAACAAAAUGGAUUUGAUGAGGUUGGUAGCACAGCUCGUCAGAUGUCACUGCGGUUUUAGUAUUUGCUUAAAGAACUGGAUGGAGAUUUUGAUAUCCCAACUGUUGAAGAUUUCGAUUACUGUUUUCCUGAUGAAAACCCAGUACUGAAAGUAGGUGAAGAAAAAGAAAUUGGGGAUCAAGGGUGAAGAAAAAGCUGAUCAAAGAAGGUCAAAGUUGGGAUACUCCUGAAAAUGGUAAUGAAGUUGAAGUUCAUUAUACCGGGACUUUAUUGAAUGGAAUUCAGUUUGAUUCGAACCAUGAUCAAGGAACCCCAUUUAAGUUCAAAGCUUGGGCAAGGUAUGAAGGUUAUUGAAGUGCAUGCUCGAUGGGUUGUUUUAGUUGAAAUGGUUAGAGAUUUUUGGCGCGAUGUCUUGUUGAUUAGGUCUUGUUACUGAUAUUGUUAUAGUAAGCUCGUUACGGCUUUAGGUUUAUUAUGUGGUUCUUGUUUCCCAAUGUGUAGUUAAGAUUUAAGGGUCAUGUUACUUAAAACUUAAAUUGCUUUUCGCGGAAUUGGAUUGCUUUAAAAGUUUAGUUUACUAGAGAAGUCAGUUGCAGAAGAUGCACAUUACUUUCUCGGUAAAGAUUUGCAUGGCUGUAUUCUGCUUCUGAUAUUUCUUUGAAGUCGAAUAAAAUAUUCAAAAACAUGACAUGGGAUAAUAGGAUGCUGCUGCUAAGUCUGUCGUAUUCAGAGUCUAAUUGAGUUCUGUAUUCUUGACUGAACUGAAUAUUCUCUCUUAUCAGGGUGGUUCAUGGAAAGUAUUUUAUGUCUGUAUAGGCAGACUGGGCAGUUUGUUUUAUUGUAUGUAACUGAAGUAAUUUUUUUUUGUAGUAAGUGCAUCAUUUAAAGAAACAGGUGCAAGCAUAAAGAAAGUAGUGUAUGGAUUGAAAAUAGUUGGAGAGUUUUGUACCAAUAUGUUGUCAAGUCUUUUUUUUUAGUAUGUGUGGUGUAAUAUUGGGUGAUCAAAAUAAAGCAAGAGACUGAAGAGUAUUUCGUGUGCAUUUGUUGACGUCAAUUUGUUAUCUGACGGAGGAAGUUUUCAAGGGAUGGCCUUUAGGUACCAAGACAGUGAAGAAAGGAGAAAAUGCAAUCUCACCAUCCCUGCGGAGCUUGCUUAUGGUGAAGCUGGUUUUCCUCCAACCAUUCCUCCUAGUGCAACUCUUCAGUUUAACUGGAGCUACUCCUGGUCUAGUGUGAAGGACAUUUGCAAAGACGAAGGGAUUGCCAAGGAGGUUCUAACUGAAGCGGAGACAUGGGAAAAUCCCAAAGACUUGGGCGAAGUUCUUGUGAUACAGUCAAAUAUGAGGCUCGACAUGAGUAUGGAAGUGUGAUUUCUCAAUCUGAAGGAGUUGAAUUCGUGUUAGAGGGUAUUUCUGUCUUGCACCUGAGAAGGCUGUCAGAACAAUGAAGAAGAAGGAGAAGGUUCUCUUGACCAUGAAGCCCCAUUGUAGGUUUUCUUUUCCCACCAGAUCUUCAUCUGUUUUUGUGACAUUUGCGGUCGCCUUUCUUGUUGGUGAGGUUGGUCAGUCUCUGGUCAGGAGGUAGCUUUUCCACCAAAUGAGACUCUUCUCAUUGCUCUCCUAGAAGAUUGUGAAGGAAGUAACUUCUGACAAGAAGGUCAUAAAGAAGAUUCUUAGGAGAGGCUACGAAAAACCCAAUAAUGGAACUGUUGCCGAAGAAUCUCAGCAAGACCUCGCUUUGUUCCUCCUGGUUCAACUGUCUAUUAUGAAGUUGAGCUUGCAUCUUUCGUUAAGGAUAAGGAAUCGUGUGAUAUGAGUAAUGGUGAGAAGAUUAUAGCUGCUAGCAAAACGAAGGAAAAAGGUAAUGCUUGUUCAAGGCUGUAAAUGUUCAAGAGCCUCUAAGAGAUACGAGAAGGCUGCAGAUUUUUCGAGUACGAUUCUCCCUUCAGUGGAGGAGAAAAAGCAGGCUAAAACUCUUAAGGCCAGCUGCAACCUCACGAUGCAGCCAGCACGCUGAAACUUAAAAGCCACAAGGAGGCCGAGAAGCUUUGCACAAACGCCUCAUGGAAGAGAAAAUAAGAAUUCUUGCCGGUUGGUCGGUCAAUAACUCAGUCUCAGUUUGUCCUCUGGACUUAAUUUCGUACAAUAUUAUAAGAAAUUGUGCAAAACACAGUCAAAAUGAGUUUCACUACGAAAUCUCCUAAAAUUCUUUGAUCACUCUUUCCAAAUAUGUAUUGCUUUUCCCUGUAGUCUGUUUUUAGAUUGUCUUCCUGUAAUUUAUUGUUACGGGUUAUCUGGAUCUCCAUCAACUUCAAACUUAAACUUCAGUAAUUUCUUGAGUAUUUGUAUUCUG